GAUGAACGCUGGCGGCGUGCCUAAUACAUGCAAGUCGAGCGAACAGAUGAGGAGCUUGCUCCUCUGACGUUAGCGGCGGACGGGUGAGUAACACGUGGAUAACCUACCUAUAAGACUGGGAUAACUUCGGGAAACCGGAGCUAAUACCGGAUAAUAUAUUGAACCGCAUGGUUCAGUAGUGAAAGACGGUUUUGCUGUCACUUAUAGAUGGAUCCGCGCCGCAUUAGCUAGUUGGUAAGGUAACGGCUUACCAAGGCAACGAUGCGUAGCCGACCUGGGAGGGUGAUCGGCCACACUGGAACUGAGACACGGUCCAGACUCCUACGGGAGGCAGCAGUAGGGAAUCUUCCGCAAUGGGCGAAAGCCUGACGGAGCAACGCCGCGUGAGUGAUGAAGGUCUUCGGAUCGUAAAACUCUGUUAUUAGGGAAGAACAAAUGUGUAAGUAACUAUGCACGUCUUGACGGUACCUAAUCAGAAAGCCACGGCUAACUACGUG
rnacentral:rRNA from 1 species